GACGAACGCUGGCGGCGUGCCUAAUACAUGCAAGUAGAACGCUGAAGGAGGAGCUUGCUUCUCCGGAUGAGUUGCGAACGGGUGAGUAACGCGUAGGUAACCUGCCUGGUAGCGGGGGAUAACUAUUGGAAACGAUAGCUAAUACCGCAUAAGAGUAGAUGUCGCAUGACAUUUGCUUAAAAGGUGCAACUGCACCACUACCAGAUGGACCUGCGUUGUAUUAGCUAGUUGGUGAGGUAACGGCUCACCAAGGCAACGAUACAUAGCCGACCUGAGAGGGGGAUCGGCCACACUGGGACUGAGACACGGCCCAGACGCCUACGGGAGGCAGCAGUAGGGAAUCUUCGGCAAGGGACGGAAGUCUGACCGAGCAACGCCGCGUGAGUGAAGAAGGGUUUCGGAUCGUAAAGCUCUGUUGUAAGAGAAGAACGAGUGUGAGAGUGGAAAGUUCACACUGUGACGGUAUCUUACCAGAAAGGGACGGCUAACUACGUG
rnacentral:rRNA from 1 species